AAAGGAAUGAGAAUUUGAUGGGAAGAGGGGAAAGACGGGAGGUCAGUUCAGGAAUCAAGGGAUGGAUAAUGAGGAAGGGAAAGAGAUUGGAGAAAUGGGUGUUCGGGGAAAGGAUAAGGUGAAGGAGACAAGGAAAGUGAAAGGUUUGCUGGAAAGAAGGAAACUGAAUUGAGAAAUGAAGAGGUGAAGAGUAAGGAAAGGAAGGAGAAUGGUUAUGAAUUAGAAGGGGAUGGAGGCCUAUCCAAGAAUAGGCCGAGGAGAACUGAUAAGAAGGGUCUAUUGAGGGUUUUGGAUCCUCUUUUACCCUCUGCUCAUCUGUGUUGUCUACCAGGUCUGAUGUAGCGUCUUUGAUUUUGGAACCUGCUCAGGCUAUUUUUUGAGAGAGGUUUCGUGUGCAGGGCUAUGCUCUUUGCUUGGGCAGUGGAGGUUUUGGUCGUUUUUUUUCCUCCCUUGUUCAAGAAGGUGCAAAUCAUCUCUUUCUCUUAUUUGGGUAUAACAAUCAUAUUUGGACACGAGAGCUACUUUGUAACAAGCACAUGACAUUGUUAAACAAAGACCUGCUGCUAUCUGCCAAAAAAAAUUGUAAAGCUAGCAAAGAGACUGGCUCUGGCAGGAAAAGUUUUUGUAAAGGCCAUAUAGUUCUAUUGUUGGGCCAAUUUGCUUUUGUAAAGAUCAUGCUGGGUAUGGAUUUGACCUUUGAUUGUGGAUUUGCGAAGAUCCUCAUAUUACAUGAUGAAAUCAUUCAGUUUGUCUAUUAGUCUCUCAUGGAAAAUAUUCAUCAUUAUAAUUUUUUUCUUUACUUGAUUUUGUUAUGUUCA